CCCCUCUCAGGAUCGCUCCUGGAGAAUUUCCAGUACUCCACCAGUCUUGGCUAUGGGAGGGAGAGUCAAGCAGAGGCCUACCCAUUCCAUUCCUAGCUCGAGAUGUGGUUAGCUAGUGGAAGGCAAUCUGCUACAAGU